rnacentral:rRNA from 1 species
AUUGAACGCUGGCGGCAGGCUUAACACAUGCAAGUCGAGCGGAGAGAGGUAGCUUGCUACUGAUCUUAGCGGCGGACGGGUGAGUAAUGCUUAGGAAUCUGCCUAUUAGUGGGGGACAACAUUUCGAAAGGAAUGCUAAUACCGCAUACGUCCUACGGGAGAAAGCAGGGGAUCUUCGGACCUUGCGCUAAUAGAUGAGCCUAAGUCGGAUUAGCUAGUUGGUGGGGUAAAGGCCUACCAAGGCGACGAUCUGUAGCGGGUCUGAGAGGAUGAUCCGCCACACUGGAACUGAGACACGGCCCAGACUCCUACGGGAGGCAGCAGUGGGGAAUAUUGGACAAUGGGCGCAAGCCUGAUCCAGCCAUGCGCGUGUGUGAAGAAGGCCUUAUGGUUGUAAAGCACGUUAAGCGAGGAGGAGGCUACUUUAGUUAAUACCGAGAGAUAGUGGACGUUACUCGCAGAAUAAGCACCGGCUAACUAUGUG